ACAAUGGAGAGUUUGAUCCUGGCUCAGGAUGAACGCUAGCUACAGGCUUAACACAUGCAAGUCGAGGGGAAACGACAUCGAAAGCUUGCUUUUGAUGGGCGUCGACCGGCGCACGGGUGAGUAACGCGUAUCCAACCUGCCCACCACUUGGGAAUAACCUUGCGAAAGUAAGACUAAUGCCCAAUGAUAUCUCUAGAAGACAUCUGAAAGAGAUUAAAGAUUUAUCGGUGAUGGAUGGGGAUGCGUCUGAUUAGCUUGUUGGCGGGGUAACGGCCCACCAAGGCGACGAUCAGUAGGGGUUCUGAGAGGAAGGUCCCCCACAUUGGAACU
rnacentral:rRNA from 1 species